rnacentral:tRNA from 1 species
GAUCCCAUAGCUGAACGGUUACAGCAUUGGUCUAGCAAACCAGCCGUCUAGAGUUUAAUUCCCUUUAUGAGCA